rnacentral:SRP_RNA from 1 species
GCUGGGCAUGGUGGCACAUGCCUGUAAUCCCAGCUACUUUGGAGGUUGAGGCAGGGGAAUUGUUUGAACCCAGGAGGCGGAGAUUGCAGUGAGCCGAUAUUACGCCACUGCAUUCCAGCCUGGGUGACAGAGUGAGAUCUUGUCUCAA